CCGAGAUUGCAGUACGCAUGCACGAGCCGCGGAACGGCAGUACGCAUGCGGCUUCGUGGAAAUGGAUUCUAUUUAUACGUUUCAUGGCGCAUGCGCACCGGUGCCAGGAGGACUAAGUAAAAUAAAGACCGGCGGAUUUGCUGCGCAGAGUGACUAGAAAAUACAUAAACCACUUCCGUGUGCCUGCGCUCAUGUGUCCUGCUGCCUCCGCCACCAAACGCUUACGUCCGCAAUUCCACCAAUUGGCCACACGGGGGCAUUAGAGACCAAAGGAAGAAUUAAUAUUAAGCACGAGGUAUGCGUAAGUCAUCACGAGGCAUGCUGCUCAGCACCACCUUUGGGAAACAGCUAAUGGAUAUGUAAUAAAAAUCUCGGUACAGCAGUAACAUACAACGUUAUAUAAGAAUAAUACGAGAACACCUUGCAAGGAGGCGAGGGACUUUACAACCUCUGUCUGGGAAGUCCAGCACCAUUUGCCCGCAGACACCUCUUUGGCAACUGUUCUAGAUCCAGCUGUACAUCCUGUUCCAGAGCACAGCUCAAAACUACAAAGGAAACAAAGGGAGGUCUGAGUAGGCACAAGAAAGAGAAUGUAAUGUUUCCAUACUGAAAAAAGCAAGUAAGCAAUCGAAGACAGAAGCCAUUCCUAGAAUACUGCUAUGGGAAACAUAGCGGCAGAGAAGAAAGAAUCCACAUUUCCCUGAACAACUGCUCCAAGAAAAAAAGAAAAAUCAAUUGCUUUUAGACAUUCUUUGUUUGAAGGCAGAUACCAUCCUCACACUUUAAAAGCAUUAAAAAAAAAAAAAAAAAAAAAAAAAAAAAACCAAUACAGUGCACAGAGUAAUCUCCUCCAACAACACGUGUAUUUGGUGUAGGCAGCAAGUGGCACAGCUCUGUGUCAUAAAGAACUCAAGUUAUAAGCACCAAGCACCAAAGCUCCAGCCAAACCAGCCAAAUGUGCCUACUGACAGCCAGAAUCCUUAGGAAAGACAGCCAGUAAAAAAGUCAAACAAAGCACCUGAUUCUCAGCCUUCUCAGUCCUUUUUGAAAAUCCGGAGGCCUCCCUGUUGGCUUCACUACUGGCCUGCAAAGCCCGAGCUCACAGUCUGUUGGAAGUCCUUGUAACUAGACAGCAGAGAAUUUGGAUUGGACUGAAUUUCAGGAAGCCGUUGCAUUAGAUCAAAAAUAGCGCCUCUCUGAGCGACUGGAAAAAAGGCAGCAUCACACCCAUUUUUAAGAAGGGAAGAAAGGAUGAUCCUGGGAACUACCAAUGUAACAGUCUCACCUCUGUGCUGGGAAAGAGCACAGAGUAGAUCCUCCUGGAAGUUGCGUUAAGGCACAUGCAAGACAGGGAGGAGAUACAGGAGAACCAGCUUGUCUUCACCGAGGGUAAAAAUCCUGCAUGGCCAACCUAGUGGCUGUCUAUGAUGGCAUCACUGCAUCAAUAGACAAGUGAAGAGCCACUGAUACCAUCAACCUGGAUGUCAGUAAGGCCUUUGACACAAUAUCCUGCAACAUCCUUCUCUCCAAAUGGGAAAGAUACAGAUUUGAUGGGUGGAUUGUUGAAUGGACAAAGAACCAGCUGCAGGAUUGGGUCCAGAGAGCGGCGGCCAAUGGCUCCAUGUCUGGAUGGCGAUUGGUGAUGAGUGGUGUCCCACAUGGGCCCAUGCUGAGGCUGAUACUGUUCAAUAUCUUCAACGGCGACAUCAGUGGGGUCGAGCACACCCUCAGAAAGUUUGCUGACAACACCAAGCUGUGGGGUGCAGUGACACACCAGAGGGACAGGACACCAACCAGAGCUGGACAGGCUCAAGCAACGGGUACAGGGAAAUCUCAUCAGGUUCGACAAAUCCAGAUGCAGUGUCUUGCACCUGGGACAAGAGAACCCCCCGCUACCAAUACAUACCGGGGGAUGAAAGGGCUGAGCAUAGGCCUGUCCCAAAAGACCUGGAGGUACUGGUGGACGGCAAGCUGGACGUGAGCCAGCAAUGUGCCCUCCCAGCCCAGAAAACCAACCAUAUCCUGGUCUGCAUCAAAAGAAGCGUGGUCAGCAGGCGAAGGGAGGUGAUCCUGCCCUUCUGCUCUGUGCUGAAGAGGCCUCACCUGGAGUACUGCAUCCAGAUGUAGAGUCCUCAGUGCAGAAGAGACAUGGACCUGUUGGAGCACAACCAGAGGUUGGCCACAAAAAAAUGAACCAAGGGAUCAAACACCUUUCCUACAAGGACAGGCUGAGAGAGCUGGGGCUGUUCAGGCUCCGAGGUGACCUGGUAACAGUCUUUCAGAACCUAAAGGGGAUCUAAAGGAAAGAACAAGGGAAAAAUUAGGUUAGAUAUCAGGAAAAU
rnacentral:lncRNA from 1 species